rnacentral:rRNA from 1 species
ACAAGGACGCGAUGUAACUACUCCGUACCGUGGACGAGUACCUCAUUCAGAAAGACACGGGCUAACUACGUGCCAGCAGCCGCGGUAAUACGUAGGUGGCAAGCGUUGUCCGGAAUUAUUGGGCGUAAAGCGCGCGCAGGCGGUCCUUUAAGUCUGAUGUGAAAGCCCACGGCUCAACCGUGGAGGGUCAUUGGAAACUGGGGGACUUGAGUACAGAAGAGGAAAGCGGAAUUCCACGUGUAGCGGUGAAAUGCGUAGAGAUGUGGAGGAACACCAGUGGCGAAGGCGGCUUUCUGGUCUGUAACUGACGCUGAGGCGCGAAAGCGUGGGGAGCAAACAGGAUUAGAUACCCUGGUAGUCCACGCCGUAAACGAUGAGUGCUAAGUGUUAGGGGGUUUCCGCCCCUUAGUGCUGCAGCUAACGCAUUAAGCACUCCGCCUGGGGAGUACGGCCGCAAGGCUGAAACUCAAAGGAAUUGACGGGGGCCCGCACAAGCGGUGGAGCAUGUGGUUUAAUUUGAAGCAACGCGAAGAACCUUACCAGGUCUUGACAUCCCACUGACCGCCAUGGAGACAUGUCUUUCCCUUCGGGGACAGUGGUGACAGGUGGUGCAUGGUUGUCGUCAGCUCGUGUCGUGAGAUGUUGGGUUAAGUCCCGCAACGAGCGCAACCCUUAAUCUUAGUUGCCAUCAUUCAGUUGGGCACUCUAAGGUGACUGCCGGUGACAAACCGGAGGAAGGUGGGGAUGACGUCAAAUCAUCAUGCCCCUUAUGACCUGGGCUACACACGUGCUACAAUGGACGGUACAGAGGGCUGCAAACCCGCGAGGGGGAGCCAAUCCCAGAAAACCGUUCUCAGUUCGGAUUGUAGGCUGCAACUCGCCUGCAUGAAGCCGGAAUCGCUAGUAAUCGUGGAUCAGCAUGCCACGGUGAAUACGUUCCCGGGUCUUGUACACACCGCCCGUCACACCACGAGAGUUUGUAACACCCGAAGUCGGUGGGGUAACCCUUACGGAGCCAGCCGCCGAAGUGACAAAUG